AUAGGUUGUUCAAGUCGCAGACCUUGACUUUCAGACCUCUGACUAAUAUUAAAUGUAAUGAGUGGGAUAAAGGUGCGAUUCAUAUCGAAGUUAUUUACUAAAUAAUUAAUAUUUAAAAUGUAUAAAAUUAACAAACAUGUAGUUCUCCGAGUGGAAUUGUUUGUGGUAUUUGUUGCAAAAUACAAAUAAAUACAUGAAUAAUUCAUUAUCGUCGUUUUAGUUGUAAAUCACAACUGGUUCAAAGUCACGUAUGCGACGAAGGAGAAACUCAGUAUGAACGUUUAGUUAAUGAGCAUUAAAAUUUUUGAUUUAAUUGUUGAAAGCGUUUUGUUAAUUCGUAAGUUUGUACGAAGAAAAAAAUAACUUUGCUAAGAUUUUUUCUUGUGGUCUAAACAUACUGACGUCUUUAAUACUAAUUGCGUGUAAUAACUAGGGACGAAAUCAUGAUAUUACGUGAUAAUAAGAAUAAUGAAACAAAAUCUAAUAAUAACUAUUAAAAAUUGCAUUAAUAGUAAGAGGGAUUGAUUCUACAUAUAACGUGUGUGGAGUACAUUUUAAGGUUGUGAUGGGCUUGAGGGUCUCUGAGAGCGUUGGGGUCUCCCAGCGCCGCCAACAUGCGUCGCCACAGCACGCAGGCGACGUCCGGCAACCAGCCGCGAGCCGUGCCGCCCAGCACCACGCCCACGCCCGACGGAGCGCCCACGCCGGACGAACAGACCGCGCUCAUCCCACACGAAGCGCCCACGCCCAUCAACCCGCCCGCGUUCGAGUCGGUCUCCGACCAUUCUAUGAGAAGAAGUUGUGUUCUUCAUACUGAUAUUAUUGUAACAGAAGUAUAACAAGAUAGAAAUUUAAAUAUGGUAGUAUAAAAAGCAUCACCACUUUCAUUAAACUACCUUGAUACUGAGAACAGGAAAGUGUCCGUGUUUACUUCGCCGAUAAUAACCCAUGGUAAUAUUAGUACAUAUUUUUUUAAUUAUACCACUUCACCCACCAACAUUUCCCCCGUCUGAUGCCAGAUCUAUCUGUAGAGGUGAAUCUUUGAUGGAGCUGCUCUCUACGCCGCUGGAGGGCGCCGGUGAGGGCGACCUUGAACCUAGAUAUUACAAUACCAUCAAAUAUCUAGCUAUAUUAUAAGGUACAAUAUAGAUUUUUUGAUAUGA